rnacentral:lncRNA from 1 species
CCUUCAGCUGGAUCGUUUGGUAGUUUACGGAUGGAUUCUUAGCCUCUGUUGUGAUAUAAUUACAUUGGUUUUAUUUAUGACAUUAUUUAUAGCCUUAUAAUCCAUUACAUAAUACAUUGAGUCUUUAAAACACUGCUGUGACUGAGAAUCUGUGCUCUUAGAGGAGGAUACAGUAAAGUAUAGGGUGGAAUUAAGCACCAUUUUCAAGGCUUAUUAAAAAUCCCUUCAAUUAAAGUUAAAUAUUCACAUUUUUUUCCUUUCAUAACUGUGCUUGAAAACUUAUGUAGUAGGAUAUGCAUUCAAAAAAGGUAUGGAAGACUAUACCAGCAACUAAGUCCUACCUCACCAUCUUUUGAUGCUUUGCUUUCCACAGGUCUUCUAGCUCUACCCGGGCAUCAUUUAUCCCACCACAAGAAGGCUGAAGAUACAACAGUCUGCUUUAGAUCAAAAUACUUGAGUGGCAUGCCAUCCAAGUCCAAAGCAUUUGAUAAAUAUGAAGAAGACAAAGAAACUCAUUCUGGACUUUAGCCAACCACAAUUUUGGGUGGAGAAUGCACACUGAUUAAAACAUUUCCGUAGACAUUUUCAUCCUGUCCUCUGCUGACCAGCUUGGAAGAUAAAUGUGGAAUUGCUAUUUUCAGGUCAAUUAUAUUGAGUUAUGGAUUUUGCAUGGCACUAUACAUUUUAGACAUGUUAUUGAUUUUACUCA